rnacentral:rRNA from 1 species
AAAGAUUAAGCCAUGCAUGUCUAAGUAUAAGCAAUUAUACCGCGAAACUGCGAAUGGCUCAUUAUAUAAGUUAUCGUUUAUUUGAUAGCACAUUACUACAUGGAUAACUGUGGUAAUUCUAGAGCUAAUACAUGCUAAAAAUCCCGACUUCGGAAGGGAUGUAUUUAUUAGAUUAAAAGCCAACGCCCUUCGGGGCUUCGUGGUGAUUCAUGAUAACUUUUCGAAUCGCAUGGCCUUGCGCCGGCGAUGGUUCAUUCAAAUUUCUUCCCUAUCAACUUUCGAUGCGAAGGUCUUGUCUUCGCAUGGUUG